rnacentral:misc_RNA from 1 species
AUAUAUAUAUAUAUAUAUGCUGUAUCAUCAAAAUGCCAUAAAACCAAAAGUUCAUAUCUUUUCAUUACUAAACAUGGAAGAAUUACUUUGAAAAAAGGAUGAAAUUAUAUCGGCCUUUGACCUGUAAACAUCUGAUAUCAACACCAAACCUCAGCAGAUGAAAUGAAAAUGCUCCCCAACCGAAGGCCUAUGGCAUAAUAAUAAUGCCAAAUCUCGAAGCUCAAUGGUAUUCCUUUCCAAAUACCCAAUUCAGGGUAUUGGCAAAAAGAGCCGUUUCCGAGACUCCAGCCUUGAUUA